rnacentral:lncRNA from 1 species
GCCAGGUACAGUAUUAAGACUAUCUACCAAAAGUUAUCUCUAUUGACAUUAUGCUUACAAUCCAGGUUGAUACGGCUGAUGCUUGCAGAACAUCCAUGUGUUCAAGCUUAGAUACGACUGCUAAACUGACCAAGUCCACACGUGGACACCUAAAGCUGUGAACCCUAAUACUUUUCCAGAGAUGACAGACAUGUGACCAGAAGCUUGAGAGAGGACUCAGAUACAGUGAAGAUUCUGCAUAAGCAGUUGUAAGAGAUCCUCCUUACUUUUAUCAAAUGAUAUACACUAACUGUAACAUGACCACAGUUGGGAAUCUU